GAGAAGGAGGUCACGCUACUCUUUCGCUCCCGCCGUUUAUGUGUGGUGUUGCCGCGUUGUUGCAAUUCCUUCGUUGUUCGGGUGUGCAAUGUGCAGCGUUUUUUUUGCAAUGGCGAUCAGAUAAAUCGACUGGAUUGUUUUUCGUAACCGGAUGGAUUCACUGAUCCAAUUCCUUCCCACGUUUUUUUUUAACAUAGAGAAAUGUGAUGGAAAGUGUGACUUUUGAAAAACAGAAAUAGAAAAAAUAAUACAAAAAACGUUUCAUCGUGAGAUAUCAAAGAAAAAAAUCCUGAAAAAAAGAAGUGAAUAUUCAAAUUAGGAAAAAAAAAUUGUUUAUAUUAAACCUAGUAAGUGACUUGAAGAAAAAAGAAAAGAAAAUAUACGUAAAAAGGAUAAUAUAAACAAUAUAAACAGAAAAAACACGAUAAUUUUGUGAUAGAAUAAAUUGAUACAAAAAAUAGAUAUAGAUAAGGAAUAGAAAGACCGAAGGAGAAAAAAAAGAACGCGAAAAGGAGAGAACGAGAAAGAGAAAGAAAGAAAAGAGAGGAAGACAAGAAAAGGAAAGCAGAAAAAAAACAGUGAUACUUAAAAAAAAAUUACUCCACCCCCCAACACCCCCCCCUUUAAAAAAAUACCUCCCUCUCCCCCAUUACAAACAGACACCCUCUCUACCUCCCCCCACCCCCACCCAUUUACACCUUCCCCCCACCCCCCCUUUCCCCCGAAUUCAACCAAUCACCGAAGAGCUUUCCAAGAACCGCCUCGCCAAAUGCACUCCAGUAACCCAACGGAGAUAUAGACACGAUAUGAGCAGGUGGCGCGAGGGAUGUUGAGGUCGUGCAAAGGCCGACAUGGGCGUGGGCGUGGGCGGGGAGACGGCAGCCGUGGUGGUCAUCACACUCCUGGCUAUCAUCGGGAACGCCCUCGUGGUGACGACUCUCCUGCGCCGCUCUCUGCUGCACCACCCGUC